rnacentral:rRNA from 1 species
UACGGGGGGAGCAAGCGUUGUUCGGAUUUACUGGGCGUAAAGGGCGCGUAGGCGGCCACCGCAAGUCGACUGUGAAAUCUCCGGGCUUAACCCGGAAAGGUCAGCCGAUACUGCGGGGCUAGAGUGCAGAAGGGGCAACUGGAAUUCUCGGUGUAGCGGUGAAAUGCGUAGAUAUCUGGAGGAACACCGGUGGCGAAGGCGGCAUCCUGGACCGGCAUUGACGCUGAGGCGCGAAAGCCAGGGGAGCGGAACGGG